rfam:Chitinophaga pinensis DSM 2588, complete genome.
UUGCACCCGGCAAGUCUUAUACGACCAGCUCCUACUGAACUCCCCCAGGACAGGAAUGUAGCAAGGGUAGGUGGUUGUAGCGGUGCGAUGUAAGUAACUUGCCGUUUU